AAUAACCGCCCGAAGGCCGGGGCGUCAAGUUCGUCCAGCGGAAAAAGGCCACAAAAACGGGUGGGCUAUAGCCUUGGGGGGUGGGGCUGGCCAACUUCGUCCGCCGGACUCGGAAUGGCGUGAGACUUUGCCAGGGGCCUCCGUGUGCCAAAAAUAGGCCGCGGGCACAGCCGCGCCCAAAAAUAACUGCCGGAAGGCCGGGGCGCCAAAUUCGUCCAGCGGAAAAAGCCCCCAAAAACGGGUGGGCUAUAGCCUUGGGGGGUGGGGCUGCCCAACGUCGUCCGCCGGACCCGGAAUGGCGCGAGACAUUGUUAGCAUCCUCCGUGUGCCACAAAAAGGCCGCGGGGACAACCGCGCCCAAAAAUAACCGCCCGAAGGUCGGGGCGCCAAGUUCGUCCAGCGGAAAAAGGCCACAAAAACGGGUGGGCUAUAGCCUUGGGGGGUGGGGCUGGCCAACUUCGUCCGCCGGACCCGGAAUGGCACGAGACUUUGCGGGCGGCCUCCGUGUGCCAAAAAUAGGCCGCGGGGAUAGCCGCUCCCAAAAAUAACCACCCGAAGGCCGGGGCGCCAAGUUCGUCCAGCGGAAAAAGGCCACAAAAACGGGUGGGCUAUAGCCUUGGGGGGUGGGGCUGGUCAACUUCGUCCGUCGGACUCGGAAUGGCGCGAGACUUUUCGAAGCACCUCUGUGUGCCAAAAAUAGGCCGCGGGCACAGCCGCGCCCAAAAAUAACCGCCCGAAGGCCGAAGCGCCAAGUUCGUCCAGCGGAAAAAGGCCCCAAAAACGGGUGGGCUAUAGCCUUGGGGGGUGGGGCUGGCCAACUUCGUCCGCCGGGCUCGGAAUAUCGCGAGGCUUUACAAGGGGCCUCCAUGUGCCAAAAAUAGGCCGCGGGCAAAGCCGCGUCCAAAAAUAACCACCUGAAGACCGGGGCGCCAAGUUCUUCCAGCGGAAAAAGGCCCCAAAAUCGGGUGGGCUAUAACCUUGGGGGGUGGGGCUGGCCAACUUCGUCCGCCGGACUCGGAAUGGCGCGAGACUUUGUGAGGGGCCUCCGUGUGCCAAAAAUAGGCCGUGGGAAAAGCCGCAUUCAAAAAUAACUGCCCGAAGGCCGGGGUGCCAAGUUCAUCCAGCGGAAAAAGGCCACAAAAACGGGUGGGCUAUAGCCUUGGGGGGUGGGGCUGGCCAACUUCGUUCGCCGGACUCGGAAUGGCGCGAGACUUUGUGAGGCAUCUCCGUGUGCCAAAAAUAGGCCGCUGGCACAGCCGCGCCCAAAAAUAAACACCCGAAGGGCGGGGCGCCAAGUUCGUCCCGCGGAAAAAGGCCACAAAAACGGGUGGGCUAUAGCCUUGGGGGGUGGGGCUGGCCAACUUCGUCCGCCGGACUCGGAAUUGCGCGAGACUUUGCGAAGCUCCUCCGUGUGCCAAAAGUAGGCCACGGGCACAGCCGCGCCCAAUAAUAACCGCCCGAAGCCCGGGUUGCCAAGUUCGUCCAGCGGAAAAAGGCCACAAAAACGGGUGGGCUAUAGCCUUGGGGGGUGGGGCUGUCCAACUUCGUCCGCCGGACUCGGAAUUGCGCAAGACUUUGCGAAGCUCCUCCGUGUGCCAAAAAUAGGCCGCAGGGACAGCCGCGCCCAAAAAUAACCGCCCGAAGGCCGGGGCGCCAAGUUCGUCCAGCGGAAAAAGGCCCAAAAAACGGGUGGGCUAUAGCCUUGGGGGGUGGGGCCGGCCAACUUCGUCCGCCGGACUCGUAAUGGCGCGAGACUUUGUGAGGUGCAUCCGUGUGCCAAAAAUAGACUGCGGGCACAGCCGCGCCCAAAAAUAACCGCCCGAAGCCCAGGGCGCCAAGUUCGUCCAGCGGAAAAAGACCACAAAAACGGGUGGGCUAUAUCCUUCGGGGGUGGGACUGGCCAACUUCGUCCGCCGGACUCGGAAUGGCGCGAGACUUUGUGAGGCACCUCCAUGUGCUAAAAAUAGCCCGCGGUCACAGCCGCGCCCAAAAAUAACCGCCCGAAGCCCGGGGCGCCAAGUUCGUCCAGCGGAAAAAGCCACAAAAACCGGUGGGCUAUAGCCUUGGGGGGUGGGGCUGGCCAACUUUGUCCGCCUGGCUCGGAAUGCUGCGAGACUUCUCGAGCGGCCUCCGUGUACCAAAAAUAUGCCGCGGGCAAACCCGCGCCAAACAUAACCGCCCGAAGCCGGCCGCCAGUCGCCCAGCUGAAAAANNNNNNNNNNNNNNNNNNNNNNNNNNNNNNNNNNNNNNNNNNNNNNNNNNNNNNNNNNNNNNNNNNNNNNNNNNNNNNNNNNNNNNNNNNNNNNNNNNNNGCCACAAAAACGGGUGGGCUAUAGCCUUGGGGGGUGGGGCUGGCCAACUUCGUCCGCCGGACUCGGAAUGGCGCGAGACUUUGCCAGGGGCCUCCGUGUGCCAAAAAUAGGCCGCGGGCAAAGCCGCGGCCAAAAAUACACGCCCGAAGGCCGGGGCGCCAAGUUCGUCCAGCGGAAAAAGGCCACAAAAACGGGUGGGCUAUAGCCUUGGGGGGUGGGGCUGGCCAACUUCGUCCGCCGGACUCGGAAUGCCGCGAGACUUUGCCAGGGGCCUCCGUGUGCCAAAAAUAGGACGCGGGCAAAGCCGCGGCCAAAAAUACAUGCCCGAAGGCCGGGGUGCCAAGUUCGACCAGCGGAAAAGGGCCACAAAAACGGGUGGGCUAUAGCCUUGGGGGGUGGGGCUGGCCAACUUCGUCCGCCGGACUCGGAAUGCCACGAGACUUUACGAGGGGCCUCCGUGUGCAGAAAAUAGGCUUCGGGCGAAGCUGCGCCCCAAAGUAACUGCCCGAAGGCCGGGGCGCCAAGUUCGUCCAGCGGAAAAAGGCCACAAAAACGGGUGGGCUAUAGCCUUGGGGGGUGGGGCUGGCCAACUUUGUCCGCCGGGCUCGGAAUGCUGCGAGACUUCUCGAGCGGCCUCCGUGUACCAAAAAUAGGCCGCGGGCAAAGCCGCGCCAAAACAUAACCGCCCGAAGGCCGGGCCGCCAAGUUCGCCCAGCUGAAAAAGGCCACAAAAACGGGUGGGCUAUAGCCUUGGGGGGUGGGGCUGGCCAACUUCGUCCGCCGGACUCGGAAUGCCGCGAGACUUUGCCAGGGGCCUCCGUGUGCCAAAAAUAGGACGCGGGCAAAGCCGCGGCCAAAAAUACAUGCCCGAAGGCCGGGGUGCCAAGUUCGUCCAGCGGAAAAAGGCCACAAAAACGGGUGGGCUAUAGCCUUGGGGGGUGGGGCUGGCCAACUUCGUCCGCCGGACUCGGUAUGCCGCGAGACUUUGCGAGGGGCCUCCGUGCGCCAAAAAUAGGCCGCCGACAAAGCUGCGCCCAAAAAUAACCGCCCGAAGGCCGGGGCGCCAAGUUCGUCCAGCGGAAAAAGGCCACAAAAACGGGUGGGCUAUAGCCUUGGGGGGUGGGGCUGGCCAACUUCGUCCGCCGGACCCGGAAUGCCGCGAGACUUUGCGAGGGGCCUCCGUGUGCAGAACAUAGGCUGCGGGCAAAGCCGCGCCCCAAAAUAACUGCCCGAAGGCCGGGGCGCCAAGUUCGUCCAGCGGAAAAAGCCCACAAAAACGGGUGGGCUAUAGCCUUGGGGGGUGGGGCUGGCCAACUUCGUCCGCUGGGCUCGGAAUGCCGCGAGACUUUACGAGGGGCCUCCGUGUGCCAAACAUAGGCCGCGGACAAAGCCACGCCCAAAAAUAACCGCCCGAAAGCCGGGGCGCCAAGUUCGACCAGCGGAAAAAGGCCACAAAAACGGGUGGGCUAUAGCCUUGGGGGGUGGGGCUGGCCAACUUCGUCCGCCGGACUCGGAAUGCCACGAGACUUUGCGAGGGGCCUCCGUGAGCAGAAAAUAGGCUUCGGGCGAAGCUGCGCCCCAAAGUAACUGCCCGAAGGCCGGGGCGCCAAGUUCGUCCAGCGGAAAAAGGCCACAAAAACGGGUGGGCUAUAGCCUUGGGGGGUGGGGCUGGCCAACUUUGUCCGCCGGGCUCGGAAUGCUGCGAGACUUCUCGAGCGGCCUCCGUGUGCCAAAAAUAGGCCGCGGGCAAAGCCGCGCCAAAACAUAACCGCCCGAAGGCCGGGCCGCCAAGUUCGCCCAGCUGAAAAAGGCCACAAAAACGGGUGGGCUAUAGCCUUGGGGGGUGGGGCUGGCCGACUUCGUCCGCCGGACUCGGAAUGCCGCGAGACUUUGCCAGGGGCCUCCGUGUGCCAAAAAUAGGACGCGGACAAAGCCGCACCCAAAAAUACAUGCCCGAAGGCCGGGGUGCCAAGUUCGUCCAGCGGAAAAAGGCCACAAAAACGGGUGGGCUAUAGCCUUGGGGGGUGGGGCUGGCCAACUUCGUCCGCCGGACUCGGAAUGCCGCGAGACUUUGCCAGGGGCCUCCGUGUGCCAAAAAUAGUCCGCGGGCAAAGCCGCGCCCAAAAAUACAUGCCCGAAGGCCGGGGUGGCAAGUUCGUCCAGCGGAAAAAGGCCACAAAAACGGGUGGGCUAUAGCCUUGUGGGGUGGGGCUGGCCAACUUCGUCCGCCGGACUCGGAAUGCCGCGAGACUUUGCGAGGGGCCUCCGUGUGCCAAAAAUAGGCCGCGGGCAAAGCCGCGCCCAAAAAUACAUGCCCGAAGGCCGGGGUGCCAAGUUCGUCCAGCAGAAAAAGGCCACAAAAACGGGUGGGCUAUAGCCUUGGGGGGUGGGGCUGGCCAACUUCGUCCGCCGGACUCGGAAUGCCGCGAGAUUUUGCAAGGGGCCUCCGUGUGCCAAAAAAAGGCCGCGGGCAAAGGCGCGCCCAAAAAUAACCGCCCGAACGCCGGGGCGCCAUGUUCGUCCAGCGGAAAAAGGCCACAAAAACGGGUGGGCUAUAGCCUUGGGGGGUGGGGCUGGCCAACUUCGUCCGCCGGGCUCGGAAUGCCGUGAGACUUUGCGAGGGGCCUCCGUGAGCAGAAAAUAGGCCGCGGCCACAGCCGCGCCCAAAAAUAACCGCCCGAAGGCCGGGCGCCAAGUUCGUCCAGCAGAAAAAGGCCACAAAAACGGUUGGCCUAUAGCCUUGGGGGGUGGGGCUGGCCCACUUUGUCCGCCGGACUCGGAAUGCCGUGAGACUUUGCGAGGGGCCUCCGUGUGCAGAAAAUAGGCCGCGGACAAAGCCGCGCCCAAAAAUAACUGCCCGAAGGCCGGGGCGCCAAGUUCGUCCAGCGGAAAAAGGCCCCA
rnacentral:lncRNA from 1 species